AGAGUUUGAUCCUGGCUCAGAUUGAACGCUGGCGGAAUGCUUUACACAUGCAAGUCGAGCGGCAGCGCGGGGCAACCUGGCGGCGAGCGGCGAACGGGUGAGUAACAUAUCGGAACGUAUCCAUAAGUGGGGGACAACCUGGCGAAAGCCAGGCUAAUACCGCAUACGCAGGAGACUGGAAAGUGGGGGACCGCAAGGCCUCACGCUUUAGGAGCGGCCGAUAUCCGAUUAGCUUGUUGGUGAGGUAAAGGCUUACCAAGGCUAUGAUCGGUAGCUGGUCUGAGAGGAUGAUCAGCCACACUGGAACUGAGACACGGUUCAGACUCCUACGGGAGGCAGCAGUGGGGAAUAUUGGACAAUGGGCGCAAGCCUGAUCCAGCCACGCCGCGUGAGUGAUGAAGGCCUUCGGGUCGUAAAGCUCUGUGGGGAGAGACGAACCGCCAUUGGUGCAUAGCCAGUGGCAUGACGGUAUCUCCUUAGCAAGCACCGGCUAACUUCGUGCCAGCAGCCGCGGUAAU
rnacentral:rRNA from 1 species